rnacentral:lncRNA from 1 species
GACUGAGGGUACUUUAUACCCAACAUCAGUCCCCCUACUUUCGAGUUUAAAUUUCGAAUGAAGUACAGAGAGAUUGUCACAGCCGAAGUCGCUCCCUUGAUGUCUGUGCGCAAUCGUCCUCAGAUAUUUUGGCAUUUAAUGCGCAUGUGCUGGAGUCUUUUCAAAUCGAGGCGAUCCGAAGAGGCUCUUUUGGAACCUGCAGCGGAACGGUGCUCAAGGCGUGGCGCAAUAAAGGCUCUGUCAGCCGUUUGCCACUUUUUAACCGCCCGCUGUGGUGAGUGGGACAUGCGGCGAA